GUCAGGAUGGCCGAGCGGUCUAAGGCGGUACGUUCAGGUGGUAGUGUACUCUGUAGGCGUGGGUUCGAAUCCCACUUCUGACA
rnacentral:tRNA from 1 species